AGAGGGCUAGGGGGAGAGAGAGAGAGCGAGAGAGAGACUACACUUUUUAUACUAUUUACACUAUUAUACUACACUAUUAUACUACACUAUUGUAUUACACUAUUAUACUACACUAUUGUACUACACUAUUAUACUACACUAUUAUACUACACUGUUGUAUUACACUAUUAUACUACACUGUUGUAUUACACUAUUAUACUACACUAUGUCAUUACAGUAUUUUACCACAGUAUUUUAUUCUAGUCCUUGUCUGCCUUCCUUCAGUAGUGUUCCUGGGCAGUCAGUGUGCAAUGUUCUGUAGAGCAACACAACUGCAUCAGCCUGUAGUCUCAGUGUUGACAGACAAUAUCAGGCUGUAGUCUCAGUGUUGACAGACAAGAUCAGCCUGUAGUCUCAGUGUUGACAGACAAGAUCAGGCUGUAGUCUCAGUGUUGACAGACAAUAUCAGCCUGUAGUCUCAGUGUUGACAGACAAGAUCAGGCUGUAGUCUCAGUGUUGACAGACAAGAUCAGGCUGUAGUCUCAGUGCUGACAGACAAUAUCAGCAUGUAGUCUCAGUGCUGACAGACAAUAUCAGCCUGUAGUCUCAGUGUUGACAGACAAUAUCAGCCUGUAGUCUCAGUGUUGACAGACAAGAUCAGGCUGUAGUCUCAGUGUUGACAGACAAUAUCAGCCUGUAGUCUCAGUGUUGACAGACAAGAUCAGGCUGUAGUCUCAGUGUUGACAGACAAUAUCAGCCUGUAGUCUCUGUGUUGACAGACAAGAUCAGGCUGAAGUCUCAGUGUUGACAGACAAUAUCAGCCUGUAGUCUCAGUGUUGACAGACAAGAUCAGGCUGAAGUCUCCGUGUUGACAGACAAGAUCAGGCUGUAGUCUCAGUGCUGACAGACAAUAUCAGCCUGUAGUCUCAGUGUUGACAGACAAGAUCAGGCUGAAGUCUCAGUGUUGACAGACAAUAUCAGCCUGUAGUCUCAGUGUUGACAGACAAGAUCAGGCUGAAGUCUCAGUGUUGACAGACAAGAUCAGGCUGAAGUCUCAGUGUUGACAGACAAGAUCAGGCUGUAGUCUCAGUGUUGACAGACAAUAUCAGCCUGUAGUCUCAGUGUUGACAGAC
ensembl:lncRNA